AAGACUAUACUUUCAGGGAUCAUUUCUAUAGUUUCUGACUUGAGAAAUGCGUUUCUAAUUUGUUUGGUCUCGCUAACCACGAUGAUGAGAUGCGAUAUUCCCCACUGAGCGCGAAGCGGGCACAGAGAAGUGAUUCACUUCACACGCUCUGUGUCAUUGAUGACCGUUCUGUACUUCCUGGUGGAGUUCAGAGGUGGGGAAUAUGAACAGAGUGGUC
ensembl:snoRNA ACEA small nucleolar RNA U3